rnacentral:lncRNA from 1 species
UGGUUCUGAGGCUCUUUUUGAUCUGGAGACCCUAACAUCCUUUCCCUCUCUUUUCUCUUUCAGUUGCCUACAGAUCUGGAAGCCUUGCUGAAAAGACACCUUAAUGGCCUAGCAGCUCUUUUAGGCAAGGAGCAAUUCAGAUGUUGAAUGAUGGAACACAAAAACCCACAGCAGACAUGGUGGCUGAUGCUUGUAAUCCCAGCACUUUGCAAGGUUGAGGUAGGGGGAUUGCUUGAGCUCAGAAGUUUAAGACCAGCCUAGGUAACACAGUGAGACCCCAUCCCUACAAAAAAUCAAAAAAUUAGCUGGGCAUGGUGGUGCACAUCUGUAGUCCCAGCUUCCUGGAAGGCUGAGGCAGGAGGAUCUCUUGAGCCCAGGAGGUCAAGCCUGUGGUGAGUUGUAAUUGUGCCACUGCACUCCAACCUGGGUGACAGAGCAAGACCUUGUCUCAAAAAAAUAAAAUAAAUUGGUGUUGCGGUUAAUGGUCUUCAUGUAGGUUUUUCCCGCUGUGGAGCAGGGCAGGACAAUGAGUCUGGAUGCUGGCUCCCCUGCAUUUUAGUUCUGCAGUGAAGUUGUGGGGCCUGAGGGCUCAGGACACUGUGCUGCAAUCAUGCUGCAUAGUCAGAGUGAAAAAAGACUGGGUUAGGGAGUCACAGAGUCACAGCAUCCAGCCCCAUUGGCCAUUCAGCAAUUCUGUGACCUUCCAUCUCUGGUCAGUUUCCUCAUCUGUAAAAUGGGGAUGCUAAUGCCUGUCUCUUAGGGCCACUGGGAGAAUGAAAUGUUAGUUAUUUUUCGGCUUUUCAGUUGAGUUAUUGCAUCAGCUACGUUCGUAGUUUACCCCCUUGGUUUAUUAAGUAAUAGUUGUAAAAGUUUAUAACAGGUCACGAAUUGGCGGCACCUUUGUAUUGAUUGGCACUCAAAGUGACUUACAAAAACUUGGCUUAAUUGCCAACAUUUAAAAACUAGGGAUCUUACAUAAAAAUCUGGAUUUGUGGCUUCAUUGGAAACAUCUGCAUGACCACAACUGCUGGAGCUGAGAGUCAGCUGCUUGUUCCUGAUCCCAAACCCCAUGACUCCUGGACACCUUCUGCCUCCUACCCCUUAUCUCCCUGGAUUCCCUGAGUGGCUUGCUGCUGGAGGCUGUGAGUACCUAGUUUAUAACCCCAGUUGAUAAAGUGCUUUCACCUGCUUCAUCUCAUUAGACUUUUACCUAUGAGGGAGGUGUUAGUAUUGUUCCCUUUACAGGAGAAGAAACUAAAGCUGAGAUGUUACAGGACCUACUCUGGGUUAGUAAUAACAGCAACCGCAAUAAAUAGUAAUUUGUACUGGCUGUUUACCAUGUGCCAGGCAUUAUUCUAAGCACUUUACAUGUUUAAUUUAAUUCUCUCAAUCUUAUCAGAUAUUGUCAUUAUUCCUAUUUUAUGAAUAAGGAAAUUGAGGUAGUGACAGGUCAAGUAGAUUUCCCAAAGUCACACAGCCAGAAAGCUCAAAAUAAACUGAAGACUUCUGGGUCCUAAUCCACACUUGUUCCAGAGUCCUGCAGUGCAGGCUUUCCUUCCUUUCUCUCUUUCUCUUCUUUAAAAUGGGUGAGUCUAUGGGGCCCAGCUUCUGGUAAGAGUUUGUAAGUGUUGUUUGGUGGGAGGGGUGGGCUCGUGUUUUGUAGGAUUUGUUCCCUGCUGCCUCCUCAGCACCUGCAACAAUGCCUGGCAUGUGGCAAGAGCACAAGAAAGAGUGAAAGCCAAUGGCAACAGGGCAACAUCGGCAGCUUUCAGGGCUCCAGUGUCUCUAAUGAUUGGCACACGGGCGAAGACCUACUACGUGGCAUGCAGUGGGUGGGCUCCCAGCUCUUGAGCAGCUCAAGUCCAGACAAAAGAAUGUGCACAGGUUUCGGCCUCCGGCACCCAUUGCUGGGCCCUUGUUACAAGCAGCCUGUGCAUCUGAGGAGGCCUAAGCCUGAGCUGCCGCACACAUCCCCAUCCCUGAAGACCAGAGAGCACCAUGAUGCCAGGGGUCCCUGCGCCUCCUGGAAGUGAAGAAUGUUGCUGCAGCUCCAAGCUCGUAGGGUGGUACUAGGUAUCAGGAACUUGUAGCCAUCUGGCGGUCUGCCGGUAGCCUGUAGGACUGCUUACAGACUGGGACCAUAGGCUCCCCUGGUCCUUAGGCCUUCAGACUUGGACUGAACGACACCACUGACUUUCCCAGGUCUCCAGCUUGCAGAUGGCAGGAAGAGGUUCUUCCCAGCCUCCACAGUCAUGCCUGCCCAGCUGCUUUAGUGAUUCCGGGUCAGAGUCUUGCAAUCAGAAGCAACUCCCACCCUCAGCCCUCAAAAUGGGCCAUCUCAAAUCUUACUAGCCAAUGGCACUCCAAGGAGAGGGAGGAGCAGUGUCCCUGUCAGGAAUUACACAGAUAUUGUUUGCUCUGCAGACCUGAGCUGCCUCUUAAGGGUGCUGAUUACACAGCCUUCUUCAUCUCAGCCUAUGUCCAGAUGGAUCACAGAAUCCUCACCACAAGGGAGCUGGCCAGCCUGACCUGGAAGGACCAUCCAGAAACUCAACCAAGGCACCACAGACUGCUGGGGAAAGGUUCUUGCUGUUUUAAAUAACAUGUCCAGGCCGGGCACAAUGGCUCACGCCAGUAAUCCCAGCACUUUGGGAGGCCGAGGAAGGCGGAUCACCCGAGCUCAAGAGUUCAAGACCAGCCUGGCCAACAUGGUAAAUCCUGUCUCUACUAAAAAUACAAAAAAAAAAAAAAAAAUUAGCUGGGUUGGUGGCACACACCUGUAGUCCCAGCUACUCGGGAGGCUGAGGCAUGAGAAUCACUUGAACCUGGGUGGCAGAGGUUGCAGUGAGCCGAGAUCACACCACUGCACUCCAGCCUGGGUGACAGACCAAGACUCCGUCUUAAUAAAAAAUAAAUAAAUAAAUAACAAGUCCAUCAUCAGUUAGGCCCUGACCAAAUGGGCUAGGGGACAUGAGGACAGAUGGGGACGGGGAAAAAAAGGAGCAGAUACCUUAGCUCAGGUCCUCAUCCCCAGCUGGGUUCCCUUCUCCUCCAAGGAAUCCUUUCCAGGAGUGGAGAAAGAGGCAUCUCAGUCAGACAGCCAGGGUCCCUGGAGGCCAGACUUUUUCAUCCCCUUUCACAUGUGAAGAGGCUGAAUAAUCAUCUUAUCCCCCUGUAUUAGCUCAUUCUCACAUUGCUAUAAAGAACUACCUGAGACUGGGUAAUUUAUAAAGAAAAGAGAUAGAGCCAGGCAUGGUGGCUCAUGCCUGUAAUCAAAGCACUUUGGGAGGAUGAGGUGGGCAGAUCACCUGAGGUCAGGAGUUCGAGACCAGCCUGGCCAACAUGGUGAAACCCAGUCUCUACUAAAAAUACAAGAAUUAGCCAGAUGUGGUGGCCUGCGCCUGCAAUCCCAGCUACUCAGAAGGCUUAGGCAGGAGAAUCACUUGAACCUGGGAGGCAGAGGUUGCAGUGAGCCAAGAUCCCACCACUGCACUCCAGCCUGGGCAAGACAGUGAGACCAUAUCAAAAAAAAAAAAAAAAAAAAGAAAAAAAAGAAAAAGAAAAAGAAAAAGAAAAAAAGAAAGAAGAAAAGAAAAGAAAGGAAAGGAAAAAAGAAAAGAAAAGAGGUUUAAUUGACUCAUGGUUCCACAGGCUGUACAGGAAGCAUGGCUGGGGAGGCCUCAGGAAACUUACAAUCACGGCAGAAGAUGAAGGGGAAGCAGGCAUGUCUUACAUGGCUGGAGGAGGAAGGAGAGAGAGUGAAGGAGGAGGUGCUACACACUUUAAACAACCAGAUCUCAUGAGAACUCACUCACUAUCAAGAGAACAGCAAGGGGGAAAUCUGCCCCCAUGAUCCAAACCGUGUCACCUGCCUGUAUUAUCUCUGUGUGUGUGUGUGUGUGUGUGUGUGUGUGUGUGUGUGUGUGUGUGUGUGUGUGUGUGAUGGGGUCUCACUCUGUCACCCAGGCUAGAGGAGCAUGAUCAUAGCUCACUCACUGCAGCCUCAAAUUUGAGGGAUCCUCCUGGGCUCAAGCUAUCCUCCUGCCUUAGCC